ACUAUUAACAGAAUCACGUCAUUGACCGAAGGCUAAAUUGUGAUGAAUUAUUCUCUUUCAUCUUUGCAGGCUUGGAAACAUGAAUGUCACUUGUAUGAAUGGUUUUCUUCUGUGAUGUCUAAAUGGUGUCAUUUGCUCCAGAUGCCCGCCUCUGUCUAUUUGAUGUGAGGACCAUCAGAAGUGAAAGGUGCUUUGGUGUCGAUUUGCACCUGAAAGCUUUAGUCCACUCGUCGCUGAUUGAUUAUGAAAGUGAAUUCUGCUCAACAUUUUUGCUUUAAAACAAUUGUGUAAUUGUUUGUAUGUCUUUCUGCACAUUCAGACAUCUCUCUGCUGCUCGCAAACACUCCCGCGCACUUCCAAAUGCUGGUCCCUCCCCAUCAGAUAUGCUCCAAGUCUAGACAACGUACCGGCGGACGGAGCAAGAAAAUGAGGAGGACCGGUUAGUGGCUCCUGGCUGACUGAGUCGGAUCCGACACCAUUAGUCCGACUCGCCGGCUCAUGUGCACAACUGGCUUCUUAAAGAAGUUUAGGCCUGAGUAGCCUCGCAGACGCUGCGUUCCAGCCCCUCUGUUUUACAUCUGAGCCUGAUGAAUCCCUCACGUCUCCGGUAGGCCUGUCAUACCGCCAAUCACUGCAAGGACCCAUCACCACGGCAACAACGGGGGUGUCGUGGACACAUUCUGUUUUAUCGAUAGCAAUCACAAAACUAAUUUCUGUCGUCCUAGUCGUGCUGUCACACACGUGUAGGAUGCUGAGAGCAUCGAUCAUCGCCCUCGUAUCUCCUCUGAAGAAACAACACAAGCGAUCCACUCAGCUGGCAAAGAGAUGGAGACAAAGUGUCAGGACAGCGCUGAAGUACAUCAGAGAUGAUAUUAAAUUCAGGCCUUAAUGCCGAACAUCCCAAAAAAUAAAGCUUCAUCAACUCCAGCAAAUCAAAUCCAAUGACAAAUGACUAACAAACGGUAGCGGAUGAAGUAUUCAUCCUUUAUUUAACCUAUUUUAGAAACCAACUUCUCUGCUGGAAGGACGUUUGUCAUUAUCAUUUUAAAGAGAAAGCCUAGGAAAUAUGAAGUUGGCACAUGGAAUAUGAAAUAUGUGAGCAAUUACCAGGAAACAAGGGGGUAAAAAAGUUGCCACUUUGUUUCAUUAUAAGAAUUGUUGCACAGACCAAUUUAGGAGCUUGAGCCACACUGGAGCAGAUUUCUUUGCGAUUGGCCUCAGCUGCUCCGAUGUUGAUGUCUCAUUUUAAUAAGCUUUAUGAAACUGCAACGCAAAAAUGUUGUAGCACUUUUUGAAGUUGUAAAACUUCUUGAUGAAAACCCUGUUACUUUGUUACCCAUGUUACUUUGUAUUAAAAAGGUUUUUUGUUGUGGAUUAAUUUUGUGAAUUUAAGUAAAAUGUAUGAAAUUGACAGUUUAUUGUCUUAUAUGUAUAAACGUUGUCUGGCACAAGCUGAAAACGA